UUUCUGCGCUUCUUCUCUCCUCCUAGACAAGUGUAGGAAGCAAUAUUCAGAAUUUAAACUAUAAAUAUAUCAGGGAAGUUAGUGUUUGAAUGAUGUUCAUCCUAUCGACAAACAAACACAACAUGAACACUUGCCAACCGAUAUCAAAAUAACCUUGUGAAAGUGUAGCUCAUAAUGAUGUGAAAAUAUUAUAAGAAGAUUCACUUGGCAAUAAAUUAGAGGAACAAAGGUCAAACCAAUUAUUGUGCUAACCUUUUUCUCAUAAAUUUUAAUCCAUAACAGGCAAUAAAUAGGCUGCACAUAUAGUCAGCCUACUCAAUGAUGAUCCAACCAAAUCUUGCACAACAAUUUACUCCAAUGAUUAUGCCAUAGUGAAGGACAAUUCUGAUCAGACGAUGAUUCUGAUGCACUAAAGCUGGAAAGAAAAUAAUGGAAACUGAGCACACGACCUGCCUCCUAAAUUUAAAAUAGUAAGCCCUAUACCAGCCUCCCCAAAACUAGGCUGCAAUCAGAAAUCCAAUCUACAUAUGAAUUUCCUUCUGCUCCAUGUGCAAGAAUAUAGAAAAGUCAUGUCAUUGCAUAGAAGAUUUACUAAACACAUUCUACCAUAUCAGAGUGUAAAGAGGCUACAGCAACAGUACUUCACUCAGCCUUACGCCAACAUCUCACGGUCAUCAUGAUGACAAAAACAAGCCAUUCCAUGUAGUUAGUUGCUUAAGUUUGAUCAGUGAGCUCUAAAAUAAAAUAUAUUUUUGCUUGUUCUCUAACCAUUUCUUAGGUCAACAGGCGGACAAGAUGUUAAAAAAAGGUCAAGCUUAGUUGGCUAAACUUGCCCAGCUAUAAAACAAGAAAAAAGCUGCACAUGCUGGUCAUCUACUCCUGUUAUAUAAGUUUAGGCUUUGAUUUUUUAUGCCAUUACCUAUAAAUUUAGCAAGCAAGAUGCACUCAUCACAACAAUCACAGAAUUACUACUGAAAUCUGAAUAAUUAAGUGGUCUUUCUCCAGACCAACUGCAGAAUAAUUGCAAUAUUAUCAAUAAAAUUAAAGCCUUAAAAAUGGUUUCACCCAGGAAAAACUGCAUAACCCAACUUAGAAUAAAAAAGGAUCAAAUAGUGAAACAAAAUCAUUUCAAGUGCUCUGGAAUAAAGGAGACUCUUUCAUUCACAGUAUUGGCAGUUUGAACCAUUUCGGUAAUGUUGGGAAUUGAUGAGACUCCAUUUUAAGGGACAGUGCUAUGUAAAGUCAAUAUAGAUUUUAUAUAUUCCUAAUAAAUAGAUUCCUAAUUAGUAGAUUUCAUAUAUUCCCAUUUAGUAUAGGAUUUAUA
rnacentral:misc_RNA from 1 species